rfam:Erinaceus europaeus unplaced genomic scaffold scaffold00060, whole genome shotgun sequence
UCUUGAUUAAGUUCCAAUAGAACCUUCUGACCUUCCACUGUGGACUCAAUAGCAGGAAAAUGAAGAAGAAAGUGGAAAAAGA